rnacentral:lncRNA from 1 species
GAGUGGGACUCGGCCCAGAAGCCGAGGGACGCUCUAGGCUGCCGGGCGCUGAUUGUCAGCGCGGAGGCUGGGCUGAGGCGCCGCGGUACCAUGAGGCGCCGGUACUUAAGAGAUUAUGGCAUCGGAAACUCACAAUGUUAAAAAACGGAACUUUUGUAAUAAGAUUGAGGAUCAUUUCAUUGAUCUUCCUAGAAAAAAAGAUCUCUAAUUUCACUGAUAAGAACAUGAAGGAGGUUAAGAAGUCUCCAAAACAGUUGGCUGCUUACAUAAAUAGAACAGUUGGACAAACUGUGAAAAGCCCAGAUAAACUUCGUAAAGUGAUCUAUCGCAGAAAGAAAGUUCAUCAUCCCUUUCCAAAUCUUUGUUACAGAAAAAAACAGCCCCCUGGAAGGUGGGGGCUGUGACAUGGCAAAUAAAGAAAAUGAACUGGCUUGUGCAGGCCACCAGACUGAAAAAUUACACCAUGACAGUCGAACAUAUUUGGUUAACUCCAGUGAUUCUGGUUCUUCACAGACAGAAAGCCCAUCAUCAAAAUAUAGUGGGUUUUUUUCUGAGGUUUCUCAGGACCAUGAAACAAUGGUCCAAGUUUUGUUCAGCAGGAAUAUGAGAUUGAAUGUAGCUUUAAGUUUCUGGAGAAGGAGAAGUAUAAGUGAACUUGUAGCUUAUUUGUUGAGGAUAGAAGAUCUUGGCGUUGUGGUAGAUUGCCUUCCUGUGCUCACCAAUUGUUUACAGGAAGAAAAACAAUAUAUCUCACUUGGCUGCUGUGUAGACUUGUUGCUUCUAGUAAAGUCACUACUUAAAAGCAAAUUUGAAGAAUAUGUUAUAGUUGGUUUAAACUGGCUUCAAGCAGUCAUUAAAAGGUGGUGGUCAGAACUAUCAUCCAAAACAAAUUUUAAAUGAUGGAAAUAUUCAAAUUUUAAAACAACAAUUAAGUGGAUUAUGGGAACAGGAAAACCAUCUUACUUUGGUUCCAGGAUAUACUGGUAAUAUAGCUAAGGAUGUAGAUGCUUAUUUAUUACAGUUACAUUGAGAGAUUUCAUCUACUAAAGAGGAUUUGGUUUUUCAAAACAUCCCUGAACUGUGUAAUUUACAAAAAAAGUCUCGUCUGAGAACUGUGAACUGUGGAAGAAAUCAAAACUAUUUUUUCUUUUAAAAAGCCACAUAAUGAAACCACUAAUGAAAUCCCAACAAUCUGCUUCACAUUGAAGUGGAAAAAUAUCCGAAAGGAGCAGCUUCAAUUUCAUUGAGGUGAAAGUGCACUAUGUAGAUUGUUCACCUUUGCUGCAUUUGGGAAUUAUAUGGUUAUUUGGUAACAUUAAGAACUACUGGAUUUUAAUGCAAUCCUGCAUAAAAAUAUAAUUUAUACUAUGUGAAAAAAUAAGACAGGACUUACCACUAGGAACCACCAAGACCAAUCAUCAUUAACUUUAAGAUUGUGUUUUAUUUAAAAAACACUUAAAAAAAAA